rnacentral:rRNA from 1 species
AUGUUGGUUAAGUCCAGCAACGAGCGCAACCCCUGUCCUUAGUUACCAUCAUUUAGUUGGGACGUCUAAGGAGACUGCCGAUGUAAAUCGGAGGAAGGUGGGGAUGACGUCAAAUCAUCAUGCCCUUUAUGACCUGGGCUACACACGUGCUACAAUGGGCGAUACAAAGAGAUGCAACUGCGCGAGCACAAGCCAACCUCAAAAAAUCGUUCUCAGUUCAGAUUGGAGUCUGCAACUCGACUCCAUGAAGAUGGAAUCGCUAGUAAUCGCGAAUCAGCUACGUCGCGGUGAAUACGUUCUCGGGGUUU